UCUCACCCAGUGCUUCUUCAGGAGCCAUUCUUUGUACCUCCUUUUCCCAAACCAAGCCUCUGAGACAACACUGUAAUUUCCCUUUCGUCUCCACCAAAGCGGAAACAAUAUAAUACCAACUUUUCUUGUUUACCUUCAAGAACAAAAUUUUACAGAGGCCACCUCCCUUAUCCCCGACAUAUUUUUCCUGGUCGAAAACAAAAUAUUAUUGCAUCAGUAGACAAGCAUGAUAUAAAAUAUUAUUUCUGGGAAAAAAAUUUAUCUGUGCUUCAACAGUCAACAGUAUGAUGUA